UGAAAUAAAGUCUAAUGAUGCUGCUGAUGGUAAAUACCCUUCAAAUUUACACGUUCAUACGGAGAAAAAAGAAGAAAUUAACAAAAUUCUGCUAGAUUUUGUCGACGAAAUUCCUGAUAAAUGGAAGAAUUUGGCAAGAUUUCUAAAUGUCAGAGAUGCAAAAAUAAGAGAAAUUGAACUAAAUCGUCGUAACGUGAUCGGGUAAGGGUUUGAAUUGCUAAAGUUUUGGUGGGAUACUCGAGAAAACAAUCAGUUGUGGUACGAAGAACUUGCUGAUGCAUUUUGUUAGAUCGGGAAAAAUCAUUUGGCUGAAAACGUUCUUCAUAAAGGUGCAAAUUUUGCCAAAUAUUGUUAAACUGAAAUUCAAAGGUCAUUUACCAUUUUUUAUAAUCGCCAUUUUCAUGUAAAACUCAGAAGCCAACAUUGGAUUGGUUAUAUUGAUUUACGCUUUAAUAAUAUACAUGAAAAAAUUUCUCAGUUCUCAUUGGUUAAUUAAAAGCAGUGCAAUUUAUUGUAAAUACCAG